rnacentral:rRNA from 1 species
AACGAACGUUAGCGGCGCGCUUAACACAUGCAAGUCGAACGAGAAAGGGCUUCGGCCCCGGUACAGUGGCGCACGGGUGAGUAACACGUAGGUAACCUUCCCUCGAGCGGGGGAUAACGUUCCGAAAGGAACGCUAAUACCGCAUAAGACCACGGGCUCGAAAGAGCCUGGGGUAAAAGUAGGCCUCUGAAUUCACGCUUAAACUCGAGGAUGGGCCGGCGGCCCAUCAUGGUAGUUGGUAGGGUAACGGCCUACCAAGCCGAAGACGGGUAGCUGGUCUUAGAGGAUGAUCAGCCACACUGGAACUGAGACACGGUCCAGACUCCUACGGGAGGCAGCAGUGGGGAAUCUUGCGCAAUGGGCGAAAGCCUGACGCAGCGACGCCGCGUGGGUGAUGAAGGCCUUCGGGUUGUAAAGCUCUGUGGGGAGAGACGAAUAAGACGUGGCUAACAUCCACGGCGAUGACGGUAUCUCCUUAGCAAGCACCGGCUAACUCUGUGCCAGCCGCCGCAGUAAUAC